UACGUAGGGUGCAAGCGUUGUCCGGAAUUAUUGGGCGUAAAGAGCUCGUAGGCGGUUUGUCGCGUCUGCUGUGAAAACCGGAGGCUCAACCUCCGGCCUGCAGUGGGUACGGGCAGACUAGAGUGCGGUAGGGGAGAUUGGAAUUCCUGGUGUAGCGGUGGAAUGCGCAGAUAUCAGGAGGAACACCGAUGGCGAAGGCAGAUCUCUGGGCCGUAACUGACGCUGAGGAGCGAAAGCAUGGGGAGCAAACAGG
rnacentral:rRNA from 1 species